ACUCCUACGGGAGGCAGCAGUGGGGAAUAUUGCGCAAUGGACGAAAGUCUGACGCAGCGACGCCGCGUGGAGGAUGUAAGGUUUCGGAUCGUAAACUCCUGUCAAGAGGGAAGAAACCUAUUACGAAUAAUACUCGUAGUAAUUGACGGUACCUCUAGAGGAAGCACCGGCUAAUUCAGUGCCAGCAGCCGCGGUAAUACUGAAGGUGCAAGCGUUAAUCGGAAUCACUGGGCGUAAAGCGCUCGUAGGUGGUCUUUGUAAGUCAGGUGUGAAACGCCCACGGCUCAACCGUGGAAUUGCACUUGAUACUGCAUCGCUAGAGUAUAGGAGAGGGAAGUGGAAUUUCUGGUGUAGGAGUGAAAUCCGUAGAGAUCAGAAGGAACACCCGUGGCGAAGGCGACUUCCUGGACUAUUACUGACACUGAGGAGCGAAAGCGUGGGAGCAAACAGGAUUAGAUACCCC
rnacentral:rRNA from 1 species